AUGAAAAUAGCAAUGGAUCUAGCCAGUCAAAUUAAUGACUUGCUCCAAAUGAGAAAAGGAAAUAAAAGGGUUUGCUGGACGAUCAGUUCCGGCAGCUUGAGAUGCUCCAAGACGAGGGCAACCCAGACCGUUGCCAAGGUUGUCAUGCUUUUCUGCGAGGAGGGUGAGCAUAUCAUUGGCGAGCUCGCCAAGCAAUUGGACCAACCAUGUGUGGACUAUGGCAAGGUGGACACAUUUGUGGAUCAACUCCGGGGAAACAGUGCUUGUGUUGGUGCUCAGAGAGUGAAGAACACUUGUAUUCAAUUCCAUGUGUGUUGUCAGGAGAAGAGCAAAGUUGGGUGCCUGAAGACACUGGAUUCUUUGAGAAAUGAUUUCUAUGAUCUGUGCAGCAUGUUCAUACCAUAA
rnacentral:rRNA from 1 species